rnacentral:rRNA from 1 species
ACCCAGCAACGCCGCGUGAAGGAUGAAAUCCCUCGGGAUGUAAACUUCGCAAGAACGGGAAGAAUAAGUAGGGGACAAUAACNCCUAUGAUGACGGUACCGUUUGUAAGCUCCGGCUAACUCCGUGCCAGCAGUCGCGGUAAUACGGGGGGAGCAAGCGUUGUUCGGAUUUACUGGGCGUAAAGGGCGCGUAGGCGGCCACCGCAAGUCAAUUGUGAAAUCUCCGGGCUUAACUCGGAAAGGUCAACUGAUACUGCGGGGCUAGAGUGCGGAAGGGGCAACUGGAAUUCUUGGUGUAGCGGUGAAAUGCGUAGAUAUCAAGAGGAACACCUGCGGCGAAGGCGGGUUGCUGGGCCGACACUGACGCUGAGGCGCGAAAGCUAGGGGAGCGAACGGGAUUAGAUACCCCGGUAGUCCUAGCCUUAAACGAUGAAUGCUUGGUGUCUGGGGUUAUAUAGUCCCCGGGUGCCGUCGCUAACGCUUUAAGCAUUCCGCCUGGGGAGUACGGUCGCAAGACUG